rnacentral:tRNA from 3 species
ACAGGACUAGCUCAGUCGGUAGAGCACCGGUCUCCAAAACCGGGUGUCGGGAGUUCGAGCCUCUCGUCCUGUG